CUUCGGCGUUGGAUAUCAUUCAUUUGCACUGCUUACAAUCGAAAAAUAUCACAGAAUUGGUCUAAUCUAUGACUUUUUAUUAUCCUUGCGCUGUCUGUGAAAUAAUAAAAUAGUGAAGAUCGAGAGUGCUACUUCCAUGGAACUUCUGCAAGACUGUACUCUUAAACACCACACCAUGUUGCAGACUGCAGGAUGCUUGAGAUCUGUGAUGUCCCUUGAGGACAAGAUGACCAUUGUGUCCGACUUCCUGAGAUAGUUUAUCAUUGACCGCAACGUGUGUGUGAUUGACAGGUUUAAAGCAGGACUCUCAGCUCUUGGAUUGUACAGUGCACUGCAGCAGUACCCAACACUGCUGUCCCCGUCCUGUGUCACAUAGAAAAGCAGCUCACUGCUGAGGUACUGGAGAAUCUCUUCAGACCAGACUUAAGUCCAUUGGGGAGCAACAGGAGGGCCAGAGAGGGAAGAACCCUAGGAUUUUGGGCUGACUACCUCCUCGAUU